CAAACACAUCCACUGUGCAGUGUGUCACCACAAACACUCAUGGCAAUGACACACAACGUCUUAUCUUCACCCAGGAGUCAACAGAAUGUCAACAGGCUUCAGUUCCACUCCUGAUCCUUUUAACACUGAUUCUCCUCCUGUAUGCUCUGACUGUUGGACUUGGCCUCUACAAAAUUAGACAAUUGUCCACCAAGAUAAAGGCACAGAAUGAGGCUGGCACUUA